GCCGUGGUGGUGGAACUGGUAGACACGCUGUCUUGAGGGGGCAGUGGGAGCAAUCCCGUGCGGGUUCGAGUCCCGCCCUCGGCACCA
rnacentral:tRNA from 3 species